GUGCUUGCUUUGGCAGCACAUAUACUAAAACUGGACUAACCAAGAAGAUUAGCAUUGCCCCUGCACAAGAUGACACACAAAUUUGUAAAAUUCAUUGAUAUUAA